AACUGGUUAAAUUAAGUCUUGUCAGCUCAUUUAUUCCAGAACAAAACCUGUUUAGUGAAGCUGAGCUAUUUCAUCUUGUUCAGCAUCAUAAAUCUGGACAGUCAACAUGCAACAAGGAAGGCUGAGCUUAAUUUUCAUGCUGGUGCUACUUUGUCAGUGUGGUGUCAAAGCUGUGGACCUCACCGCCUGUGAGGGAGAAACUGCUCAACUCACCUGUGGUU